ACUCGAGUGGCGAACGGGUGAGUAACACGUGGGUGAUCUGCCCUGCACUUCGGGAUAAGCUUGGGAAACUGGGUCUAAUACCGGAUAGGAGCCAUCUUUAGUGUGGUGGUUGGAAAGUUUUUUCGGUGUAGGAUGAGCUCGCGGCCUAUCAGCUUGUUGGUGGGGUAAUGGCCUACCAAGGCGGCGACGGGUAGCCGGCCUGAGAGGGUGUACGGCCACAUUGGGACUGAGAUACGGCCCAGACUCCUACGGGAGGCAGCAGUGGGGAAUAUUGCACAAUGGGCGCAAGCCUGAUGCAGCGACGCCGCGUGGGGGAUGAAGGCCUUCGGGUUGUAAACUCCUUUCGCUAGGGACGAAGCUUUGUUGUGACGGUACCUAGAUAAGAAGCACCGGCUAACUACGUGCCAGCAGCCGCGGUAAUACGUAGGGUGCGAGCGUUGUCCGGAAUUACUGGGCGUAAAGGGCUCGUAGGUGGUUUGUCGCGUCGUCUGUGAAAUUCCGGGGCUUAACUCCGGGCGUGCAGGCGAUACGGGCAUAACUUGAGUGCUGUAGGGGUAACUGGAAUUCCUGGUGUAGCGGUGAAAUGCGCAGAUAUCAGGAGGAACACCGAUGG
rnacentral:rRNA from 1 species